GCCAGCCUACCGCGUGCCCGGGGCGCGAGCGUGCGCACGUGCGCGGCCGAGGGUGGCUCCGGGGGUCCGCGGCGCACAGCGCGCGGGCGGGCAUCUGCGCGCGCUGUGCGGAGUCGCUUUGGCGAACGAGGCCGCUGUUCGUGUUCUGCCUUGCUCGUAACCAGCGUCUCGCUCUCAGAGCGCCGUUUCUGGGAAACAAGCGAUAAAGCGCCUUGUGUGCCCAGGCUCCGGAAGAGAACGGGAAAAGGAAGCCAAUUUCACUUUGCAUUGUCCCUACGGGCACCUAACCCCCUUGCUGGAACAAGGCGGGGAGGGCUAGGGAGGACAGAUGGGCGGAAACGUGCGUGUUCCCAGCCUCGCAGAUGGCCAGAAUGGGGCACGAAAUAGAGGACCUGACUAAAUUCAGGUAUAUUUAGGCCCACUUUUGGGACGGACCAAGAUUAACAGACGCAGGUAAAUUAUUUGGAACAGGAACCACCAGCUUUAGUCCUUGGAUUUCUACAGUGCUAAUUAUGAAGGGAUCCUGCUCCGUAGCUUAAGACUGUAGACACUACUGCGAUGAAAUUCCUGACAGGUAUAUACAAAAAUGUGCUCCCUGCUCCAAAGCAGCAUAAGGGACAAAAGUGGUAAACAGAAGCAGCAGGAAAAGCACUUUCAGAACGCUGACUGCCACAGAGAACUACAGAAUAGUAAAGAGCAGGCUGAAGAACACAGGUAAACAAAAGGGGGAAAAAACCCCCACCCUGUUUAUCUGUGCUUAAUGAAAACUAAUCAUUUUUGCUAUUAAAACAUCUCAUUUUUUAACUGAAUGGGGGUAUGAUACUGGAAUCUGCAUUCAUUCCAAGUUCCCAUUUACUUCCCUAGGAAUUAAAAGUGUUUAAAAAGAUGACUAAAGCUAUUAUUAUCAGGGAAAAAAUGAGCGGAAAUCUGCAGUGCACUGGUUCUGAUGUCAUCCUUGAGUGCUGAAGAGUUUUUAUGACUGACCUGAUUUCCUGGAUCAUUCUUUUCCACUGAUCAGUGAAAGGAGAAAAAAACCCGCAAAAUUGCAUCUCUGGGGAAUUUCAGAUUCUCACACUGCCUGGGACAGGGUCUGAUCCGCAUUACAUUACAGUGAUCACUCAAUGUAAUUUAUGUAGGAAAAAUAAAAUACCACUGAUAAACAUUUGCUGCCUCAGUUACAAAAGGUUUUGCUUAAACAUCAUCAUUAGGCAAGCAGGGCAGGGCAGAGAAGGUAUAUACUAGCAGAAGUUCUUUGGAGACUGGUCUGGUAUCAGAUACCAGGAAUUUAAACCUUUUCUUCCUUCUUGAGAAGAACUCAAGAGAAGGUAGAGGGAAUGUGAGCCUGUCACAGUCCCUUCUACAGGCCUGAAUCUCUUUUGUUUCCCAGAACAUUUUGCAUUUUUAUUUUUUGCUUUCA